CCUACGGGAGGCAGCAGUGGGGAAUAUUGCGCAAUGGGCGAAAGCCUGACGCAGCGACGCCGCGUGAGGGAUGAAGGUCUUCGGAUCGUAAACCUCUGUUAGCAGGGAAGAACGGUCACUGUGCUAAUCAGCAGUGAAUUGACGGUACCUGCAAAGGAAGCACCGGCUAACUCCGUGCCAGCAGCCGCGGUAAUACGGAGGGUGCGAGCGUUAAUCGGAAUUACUGGGCGUAAAGCGCUCGUAGGCGGUAUGUCAAGUCAAGGGUGAAAUCCCCGCGCUCAACGUGGGAAGUGCCUUUGAAACUGGCAAACUGGAGUGUGUGAGAGGAUAGUGGAAUUCCAGGUGUAGGAGUGAAAUGCGUAGAUAUCUGGAGGAACAUCAGUGGCGAAGGCGACUAUCUGGCACAUAACUGACGCUGAGGAGCGAAAGCGUGGGUAGCAAACAGGAUUAGAUACCCUGGUAGUC
rnacentral:rRNA from 1 species